UACGUAGGGUGCAAGCGUUAAUCGGAAUACUGGGCGUAAAGCGUGCGCAGGCGGUUGUGCAAGACAGAUGUGAAAUCCCCGGGCUCAACCCGGGAACUGCGUCCGAUACUGGAAGGCUUGAAUCCGGGAGAGGGAGUGCGGAAUUCCAGGUGUAGCGGUGAAAUGCGUAGAUAUCUGGAGGAACACCGGUGGCGAAGGCGGCAUCCUGGACCGGCAUUGACGCUGAGGCGCGAAAGCCAGGGGAGCAAAGCGGGAUUAAGA
rnacentral:rRNA from 1 species